rfam:TPA: Bos taurus chromosome 1, whole genome shotgun sequence.
UCCCUCAUAGCUCAGUUGGUAAAGAAUCUGCCUGCAAUGCAGGAAACCCAUGUUCAAUUCCUGGGUGGGGAA